rnacentral:lncRNA from 1 species
UAUUUUUAUUAUAUAUAUUUGUUGUUCUUUUUUCUUUUUUUUUUGUGUGGUAUCAACAUCUCCUUUUCGAAUGUUGUUGUGAUCUUGAACGGGUGAUCCAUGUUUUGUAAUUGAGGGAUCUACCCCAACAAGUGGUAUCAGAGCCUGGUUACCAUCGAUAAGUGGUAUCAGACGGUCUAGACAGAGGUGGUAUUGAUCGAGAUAAAAGAUGGAGAAGACAAGCACAUCAAGGUGGAGAUCAACCGA